UGUUGUCGAUGACGAGACCAUGGAACUCUGCGUCAGGCAUGGCGCCUGAUACCGAUGAGGAUACCUUCCACGCUGCCUUCCUUCUGAGACUGCC